rnacentral:misc_RNA from 1 species
UCCGAGUUGACCCCGGCAGUCUCCUAUGAGUCCCCGCCAUCACGCGCUGGCAACAUAGAACGAGGGUUGCGCUCGUUGCGGGACUUAACCCAACAUCUCACGACACGAGCUGACGACAACCAUGCACCACCUGUACAGGACCCUUACGGACCCCCCAUCUCUGGAGGAUUUCCCUGCAUGUCAAGCCCAGGUAAGGUUCUUCGCGUUGCAUCGAAUUAAGCCGCAUGCUCCGCCGCUUGUGCGGGCCCCCGUCAAUUCCUUUGAGUUUUAGCCUUGCGGCCGUACUCCCCAGGCGGGGUGCUUAAUGCGUUAGCUUCGGCACCAAGGAAUCGCUUCCCCAACACCUAGUCGACAUCGUUUAGGGCGUGGACUAC